UCUGCGAGCUUCAUCAGCUCACCUUCAUUCUCACCCGGCUCAUCUUGUUCCGCGUUCUCUCGGUCCUUGCGGCCGUUCUUGUGGCCCAGAGUUUUGUCUCCCCAUUGUGUCCCCUCGUCUGUUGUCUUGUGUGUCACGGGUGUCUGGGUGUAGUUGUCCCGGAGCUGCUCUGUCCUGCUGCCCAGCCUGGGUGUAGGUGUAAAAGGCCAAGUCCCAGGCCCCUGUAAUUUGAAAUUUGUCAUGUAGGGUGUAGUUGGAGUCUAGCGGGUGUUCCUAGAUUGACACAAGAUGUGUGGAGCUGUAAGGUUACCCUGCAGCACUUUGACUUUUGUCUCAGCUUUCUUUCAGAUGCGGACGGAUGAAAUCGGUGGCAGAGCGCCCCAUCCAGGGUAAGGGGAUUCCCGCGAGAAGGUCUCCUCUUUGUCUUUAUUUUUAGGAAGUAGAGCCAGCUAGCAGCAGUCAAGGCGAAGUGGGCAAGGCGGUCCAGUCGCGUUUCGCUGAGACGUCCUCGCCAACCGGCCGGCACAGCUGCUUCACCGCUCCCGUGAGCCCUGCGGAAGCGUUACGGAACCGUGUGACGGAGCGUUUUCCACGUAAAGGGGCUGUGUGGGUGGCCUUCAGGAACG